AACGAACGUUGGCGGCGUGGCUUAGGCAUGCAAGUCGAACGAGAAAGUUUCCUUCGGGGAGCGAGUAUAGUGGCAAAAGGGUGAGUAAUGAUUAGUUAACCUACCCCUAAAACUGGGAUAACUACCCGAAAGGGUUGCUAAUACCGGAUGGUCUAUGAGAGAUGCAUAUCUUUUAUAGUAAAGGCGCUCGCAAGGGUGUCGAUUAGGGAGGGGAUUAAUUCCUAUUAGCUAGUUGGUGAGGUAAUGGCUCUACCAAGGCAUUGAUGGGUAACCGAUCUGAGAGGAUGACCGGUCACACUGGGACUGAGACACUGCCCAGACUCCUACGGGAGGCUGCAGUCGCGAAUAUUCCGCAAUGGACGCAAGUCUGACGGAGCGACGCCGCGUGUGGGAUGAAGGCCUUAGGGUUGUAACCACUGUCACACUUUAAGAAAUCAAUUAGGGUAACUCCUAGUUGUUGACAAAGGAGUGGAAGGAAGUCACGGCUAACUACGUGCCAGCAGCCGCGGUAAGU
rnacentral:rRNA from 1 species